rnacentral:lncRNA from 1 species
UUCGUGGGGCUUGGUUUGUGACUGAUCUAGCAAAACUUUUCGGAGGUGUGGAGCUUGGGAGAGUUAGGUUAAGUGUUGUGCACAAAAUGAGCUAGCAAGUGACAUUUUCUCUCUCUCAAUCUUUAAAUACAAGACUUAGGUGCAUGAAUUGGCUGAUCUAGACUAAUGUGCUGGAGGUUUUAUGUCACAUGUAAUUGGUAAGAGUUGUUGAGCAACUCAAAAUUUGACUAGCUUUACAAGUAAGCUUCAAUUAUACAACAAGGACAAAAUAGUCAUUUGACUUGAGAUUUUAAUGGCACUUUGGUCAAUUAGUAAACCCUUAGGGUUUAACCCUAAGGUUUAACACAAAAUGAAUUUCUAGGUUUUCAUUUAGGGGUUGUACAAAAUAAAAUUUUUAGUUUUUAAAAUUUGAAAUUAGGGUCUCCUAAUUAAGUUAGGUUACCUAACCACUUAGGUCUUGAACAUUAGGAUUUAACAUUUAUAAAUUAUUAUUAAGCGUUCAAAUUUAGCAAUUAAGGUGCCGCAUUUAUCAAUUAUGGUUUACACUAAGCAAAUUAGGGUUAGCAAUUAGGGUUUCUAAUUAGCUAUUAAGUUUUCUAACAAUUAGGGUUUCUAAUUAUAUAUGAACAUUAGGGUAUUAUUUACUAAUUAUAAUUAUCCUUGCUAAUUUAGCAAUUAGUGCUUAUACUUUUGGUAAUUAGGGUUACUAAAUCACAAUUAGGGUUUAUAAUUUGGGUUCUAGUCAUUAGGGUUUUAAAUUACUAAUUAGGUUUUCCCUAAUUAACAAUUAUAAUUCUAACACUUGCUAAUUAAUAACAUUAACACAUUUACACACAAUCUUGAACUCUAAUUUAAGUUUCAAAUUAGGGUUUAACACAGUAAAACCAGGGUUUGACAUAAUACAUCAUAAUUGACCAACCAUUGUCAGUCCAUAUACAUACCGUACAUAUUUAUAUCACUGAAAUAAAAUAAUAUUAUAAUAAAUGUUAUAUAACAUAUUUACUUAGACAGAUUUUAAAGUCUCAUUUGACUUCAAACUAGGGUUUUCAAAUACUACACCAUCAUUGACCAAUUAUUAACAAUGCAUAAAUACAGUACAUAUUUAUAGUACUGAAAAAUCAAAAUAUAAUUAAUAUUAUUAUUAUAAUCAUUCCUUAUUCCAAAAUCAGAAUUAGGGUUUAUCAGUAACAUUAAAACUGUUCCAUACAUUAACCUUACACACAUAAUACACAUAUCUAUAACACUGACAAAUAAUAAUAUAAUAUUAUUAUUCUCAUUCCUUGAUCAAAAUCUAAAAUUAAGGUUUGGAUUCCAUAUCUGAUUUAUCUUACAUAUACAUACCAUUAUUAAUUAAGUUAAAUAAUUAACUUAAUUAUUCUUAAAUAAAUUUAUAUAAUAAAAUAAAAUAAUCAUUAUAAUAAUUCUAAUAAUCAUUUCAUAUAUUAUUUAAAUAAUAUAAAAUCAUAUUUUCAUGGAAAAUAAUUAAUAAAAAUAUUUCUACAAUAAAAUUAACCGUUAUAAGAAUAUAAUUUAUAAUGAUCAAUAAUUCUAAAAUAAAAUUAUUUAUAAUUAUUCAUGUAAUAAAUAUAUUUUUAUUUAUCACAAAUAUAUAUACACAUUAUCUGCCACAUAUUUCCACCUUUAGUAAAAAAAAGUAUACGCAAAAUUUCUGAUUUAAUAUAUAGAAAAAUAUCGGGUUAUUACAUUCACCCCCCCUUAUAAAGAUUCUGUCCCCGAAAUCACCGUUUUAAAACCUAUACAUACCAGAGUACAUAGCAUACACAAUCAUUGCAAUUAGGUCUCGAUCAUAUUUGAUCGAACCAAUCUUUACUAUUCAGCAUAAAGCUUAUCUAUUUGCUUAUACGAAAAAUUGAUUUCUAAUAGAACUCAAUUUUCUCCUUCAAAAUAAUUUAUAAAAUAAUUAAGAAAAUCAUAUAUAAGAAAAUAAAAUUGAUUAGAAUAAUACCUGGAGUUGAAUCCCCGGCUGCUACAGUUUCUUGAACGGUCAUGUUGAAGACGCUUGCGGUUGAUUUCGUUGGUUUGAUUGUUGAUGUUGGUCCCGUUGUCGCCAAUGUCCUGCUGCCUUUUCCCGUAUUCACAUUCCUUGCAUCCCUUCUCCUUCUUGGACAGUCUUCCACCUUAUACUCCAUUGAUUCACAAAUAAAACACCCACUAUACAUUCUUGGAUUGGGGCAGUUAGGAGAGACACUUCCCUUCUGCCCGCACUUAUAACACACAAACUUUCCCUUUAUCUUCUUUCCUUUUUCCAGUCCUACUACCACUACUCCCUUUUUCAGCUCUAGCUUGAUUUGCCUUCCACCAAAAAUUUGCUUUUCCCCUUUCAUUGUAUAGGUGACAAAAGCUGUCUUUUGCCCCUCCGUUAUCCUAGCUAUCAUAAACGCUUCUACCGGGUCAGUUGAUCUUCUAAAUCCUGGCGAUACGAUUGCCUUGAAAUCUUUGAAGUUUAUCGGUCGAUUAUUUGGCUAAUCUUUCACGGCUGGUAUUCCAUUCUGCAUAGCUUGAUCGUCCAUAUUCGCAAAAUUUUGUAUCGGGUCUGGUUGUCCUCUAGCUUUGUUGACAGGUUCUUCUGUCCGUUUAUUUCGUUUUUGUCUUGACGGCAUUAUAGUAAAUUAUUCCUUAUUAUCUUACAUUCUAAGCCUUAUCGUAUAUGCUUAACAUAUAACGCAAAAUUUUAUACUCAAAUAAUCAUAUAUUCAAAAUAUUAGAUUUUGAAAACUCGGUUUACUGUAUUAACCAGUGCUCAGAUAAAUAAUUAUUAUCUUCAUACCAACUUAUUUCAUUAAUCCAACAUAAAUCCAUAUUCAUAGCACUUGACAUACCAUAGCAUAUACUGCUUUAAAUAUUCGAUAUCCCUUUGUGACUCAAGAGUCGGGAAUCGCUGCCAUAGCUUAUACAAAAUAUUACAUUACACUGACAUACUUAUCAUAUACACUAUAUAGAAUCAUACAUAUUCAAGUAAUACUAAUACUACUUAUUUCUUACGCCUUCACUAAGAAUCAGUUGCUUAGUAUUCUAUAUAUUCAUAUCAUCCUCAAUAAUCCAUUCACACCUAACUAUACCUAGUUCGUCAAACUUACAACACGUUAUGAGUUUAAGAACUCACCACAAACAUAUGAGUUUAAGAACUCGACAUUGACCACAUAUUCUUUAACUAUAUUCUACCUAUCAUUUAAACUAUCAUUUCUGGGUCCGGUACUACAUUUUCCAAAAUAACCACCUCAUUGAGGUAGCUUUCAAUGUGAGCCUCUAUUUCAGCUAUUGGCUUUGAUAUUGGCUCGAUUAUAGAGGUUGACUCCUUCUUUACGACCUGAGGGUAUCCUAAUCCUUAUCCCACAUAACAUCUACACACAAACUAUCUUGAUUAACAAAGAAUAUAUACACACAGCAAAUAAUAGUUUUAUAUAAGUUAUCUUUUAUUUUGUUUGACGAUGAACUUAUUCAAUUCAUCUCCUUUUUAAACUCUAUGAGUUAUUUGUAUUUUUAACGUUUCCCUCUGUCCCAAGGUUAUAGCCUAAGGUCUAACCCACCUAAGAUUUUUAAACCUAAAGCUCUGAUACCAUAUUGUAAAGCCCCCAAAUCCAAGUACUUGAAACCCGAACUCAGUGCUUCACGAUACCAUUUCUAUGAGCGGAAUAAUACUAAUAAUAAUAACAAUAAUAUAAUAAUUAAACUUACUUUACAUAGUAAUCAGAUUCUAUUCCCAAGUACGUAACCUUUAAUACAUUCAUUACAUGAUAAUAAUAAUAUAUAUCAUCCUUAUCAUAAUAAAGUAAAUUAUUACAUAACAUAUCAUAAAAACUCAUUCAUCAAUCUUCUCUUUUCCUUUAUUCUUGACAGAGCCUUCCGGUUGUUCACACUUAGCUGAAAACAUUUAAAUUAAGCAAGGGUGAGCAUUUGAAUGCCCAACAAGUAAUAGCAAUUAUAUAUAUAAGCUGAAAGAAUUUAAAUGUUUUCUUUAUCUCCCUUCUACAACAAAUCAAUAGUUGUGAAGUAAUCUGAACCGAUAAUAAUAACAUAACAACUCUCUAUCAAAUUUUUAAAACUACGUACUGACUAUAAAUAGGGUUAAGGUGACAUACUAUGACCAUUGUUUUCAAUUUUUGAAUAGGUUUAGCAGAACUUCAUCCGCAAACCGUUAUAACUUACGGGCACGGAAGGUGAUCAGCCCGUUUUACCCUAUAUUGAUCAAUAUUAUAUGCAAGAACGAUAUUAUCGUUCACUCUAGCUGCCUAGGGCACAUAAAAAUUUUCCCAUGUUUGGGGUGUUCAUACUUGUCGGGGUUCCAAACCAAAGAAAUUCGGUUGGAUAAUGGUAAGAUUUUAUCUUAUUCAACAAUAAUCUUUAAUUCAAUAUAUAUAUAUAUAUAUAUAUAUAUAUAUAUACAGGUAAUUAACAAAGGUGUAUCAAAAUGUGAUUAAAUACAAUGAUUAUCCAAGUGGGGACACUUGUAUAACCAUUUAUAGAAAUUAACGAACAGAAUAUAUAUCUGAAUUACCAUAUACUAACAUGUUGAUAAUCAAUAAGCGUAUGUAAUAUAUAUAUAUAUAUAUAUAUAUAUAACAAUAGGGUUAAUAAUCUGUACAAUAAUAAUAUAAUUCUGAAACAUUCUUACUCAUGUCCAUUGCAUAAAGAAAAUGCAAAGGUAGGAUACUUGCCUAGUCUGUUGCUUACAAUACGCAACUUAGUUUUAUCUUUUAUACUGAAACCUAUCAUUAAUAAGAUCAUUCUAUCGAUUAGAAUCACAUAUCAUAACACAUAGUACUGCUUAUUGCAGUCACCACAUAACCUAAUCAGAUUGUCACACAUGUUUUACAGUCAUUAAAUCACAAAUAAACACAUAUACAGACACAUUAUGCAAGUCCAAAUCAAUGUCUGAAACCUGUCGGCGUACCGACGGCUUUACCGGGUAAUUAUCGAGUCUAAGACUCUAUAUCGAAGUUCAAUAUCUAUUUAGACUAUUUAAAUAACAGUCAUAUCAUUUUUAAAUGACUUGCAAUAAUUUUUAAACAAUUAUUAUAAUUUAUUCUACAUUUUCAAACACCGGAAUCAUUAUAAAAUGAUUUAAAUAUGAAAUAAUUCUAUUAUCAUUAAUAUUUAAUUAAUAUUAAACUAUUAAUGAAACCAUUGCCAACAUAUUAAAGUUAUUUAUAAUAACUUAAAAUACUUUUAGUAUUAAUAUUACCCUUAAAUGAUUUUUAAAACGUUUAAAAUCAUUUUUGAAUGAUUACCAUUAAUAUUAAAAUAUUAAUGUACUAUUCCUCAAAAUAUUAAAAAUCAUUAAGUAUAACUUCAAAUAUUUUUAAUUCAUUUAUAUCUUUUUAAAAUAAUUUUUAAAUCAAUAAAAUUAUUUUUAAACUAUUUAUUUAAUAUAAUUAUUAAAUAAAUUUAAUACCAUUAAUGUUCAAUUAAUAUCAUUAAUAUUAAAUUAUUAAUGAAAUUAUCCUUUAAAUAUUAACAGUUAUAUUUUAUAACUUAAAAUAUCUUUAAACACUUUAUUUUCUUUUAAAAUAAUUUUUAUAAUAUUAAAAUCAUUUUUAAAAUAAUUUAUUUAAUAUAAUUAUUAAAUAACCUUAAUAUCAUUAAUAAUAAUUAAUUAAUGAAAUUUACCUUUAAAUAUUGAAAGUUAUAUUUUAUAACUUAAAAUAUUUAAAAAUACCUUAUUAUUAUUUAAAAUAAUUUUUAAUAUAAUAAAAUUAUUUUUAAUUUAUUUAUUUAAUUCAUUUAUUAAAUAACUUAAUUAUCAUUAAUAUUAAUUUAUUAAAGAAUUUCCUCAAAAAAUAUUAAAAGUCAUUAAAAAUAACUUAAAAUAUUUUCUUAUAUCAUUAUAUAAUUUUAAAUGAUUUUUCAAAUAUUAAAAUCAUUUUUGAAUAAUUUAUUUAAUAUAAUAAUUAAAUAAAUUAAAUAACUUUAAUAUUUCAAAAAUAUUAAAUAUUUAUGAAAUAUAUUAAAAAUAAUUAAAAACUAAUUUUUAGACUUUAAAAUAAUUUUUAAUAAUUUAUUUUGUAUUUUUAAUAAUAAAAAACUAAUUUUCUAUAAUUAUUUAAUAAAAAUAUAAUUUUUGUAAAUAAACUGUCGCUAAAGACCACCUAUAGCGACAUAACCAUCGCUAUAGGUGUUCUUCAUGUUCUUGGCUAAACCCAGAACAUCAUGUGUAGCGACCAAGUUGGCUACUUUGACCAAUAAUUAAACACCAAUCAUGUAGUUUCUGGACUAUAAAUUUAGCUAAUGUUGUAGUACUCAUGUAGUACUACAACCCUAAACAGGUUUCAUGCCCAAAUCAUCACAUAAUAACAAGAUCUAAUCUAUAGAAGUUGAUGUCAGACAUGUUCUUGAGUUUCUGGGUUGCCCAGAAACUCAAUCAGUAGCAAGGGUCCUAUUUUGAAGCUUUGGAUCUUUGAUUCUGAGCUUACUUAAUACCAUAUAAAAGUUCAGACAUGCAGUAGAGAUGGAGUACAAUUAUCAUGCACUAUAUCAUAUCAACAACAUCACAUGUGAGCGAUUAAGGUCGAUCAACCCAUGUCAGAAAGGCUGUUAUUCACGAAUCUAGGUUUUUUCCAGAAACUCUUAAGGCUGGUAGUCAACCCUAGUUUGACCACCCAUAACUUUGAUCAUGUAUAAGAUCUGGUUGUUCUAUGGGUUUUAAAGUGUAGUAUUCAUGUCAAACUACAAGUCUAUUACAACAAAAUGGCCUGAAUCAUUACAAGGAGCAAGAUCAAAGGCCAUCAAAAUGCAUGUCGAACUUUCUGGAAAAAUCUGGGUAGCCCAGAAAUAGAUUUCGUGCUCGAUCAACGUACUUUGACCGUUAACAACUUGCAAUAUAUACAUGAUAAAAACAUGAUUUCAGUUCCAAAUCGAAGAUAGCAUAGCAGACUACAAGUUCAAACAUCUAAACAACCAAAAUCAUAAACCGAGAAAGAUCUACAGCAUCUGACAUUCAUUGUCAAAACAAAAAAAUAAAAUUUUUCCAAAUUUACAAAAACACUAGAUCUGAACUUAUAGAAGUUAUGGAUCUAACAUCUAUCAACCCAGAUCAUCACUAUAUACUAUAAACAAUACAUUUUAACACUUAAUCAUAACAUCUAACAUGCAGAUCAAGAUCAGAUUAUAGCUAGGGUUUUUAUACCUUUCCAAGAAUAAUUUUUGAUUCUAGCUCUCUGAUUUGAUAAAGGUGUUCGUGGAGCUUGGUCUGUGACUGAUCUAGCAAAACUUUUCAGAGGUGUGGAGCUUGGGAGAGUUAGGUUAAGUGUUGUGCACAAAAUGAGCUAACAAGUGACAUUUUCUCUCUCUCAAUCUUUAAAUACAAGACUUACGUGCAUGAAUUGGCUGAUCUAGACUAAUGUGCUGGAGGUUUUAUGUCACAUGUAAUUGGUAAGAGUUGUUGAGCAACUCAAAAUUUGACUAGCUUUACAAGUAAGCUUCAAUUAUACAACAAGGGCAAAAUAGUCAUUUGGCUUGAGAUUUUAAUGGCACUUUGGUCAAUUAGCAAACCCUUGGGGUUUGACCCUUAGGAGAUACAUGCCAAGUCUCCCCUUGACGAGAACCAAUAACAGCAAAGAAUUUCUCCUCCAACUUGUCUCCCCAUUUGGUACCCAAUUCAGUCUCAGCCCAUUUGUCUGUCCUGCGAAGGAAUAUCAAUCAUGAUAAGCUACAGGUAUUUUAUAUGGAGUAUACACAUUUCCUUCUCUGUACCUCUUUUCUAAAUGUUCAACAAAGAGGCGUUUUACUAGACCAAAAUAAACAGAACAAUGGUGUAAAGUUAAUGUUACUUUGCUUCUACCAGCAAUGAAUUUCAGUUUAUAGGAGACAAUAUAUCAGGAUCAAAGAAAAAAAUAUUGUUUUCCUAGAAGACCAGAGCCACACACAAAAUUUAUACGGACAUAAUGAAGUUCUCAACUACUAAAUUUUACAGCACAUAUAGAGUAAUAACUAUGAAAGAAAGAUUACUGCAAUUAAUUACUAUGAGAGUAAUACUGUUU